AAAAAAAAAAAAAAAAACGGCGACUUCAACGGCACCCUCCCCAAAUCACGCGAAAUCUUUCUCUUCAUCUUAUCUUUGAAUUUUACAGGACUAGAGCCAUCAAUGUUGACCUUGGCUCAAGAUUGCGUGUCCUAUAACCUCAAAAUUCAAUCCGAAUCCAAAUUUAGGAGAUAUGUUUUGAUCCCUUUUUGAAUUCUUUUCAAAUCCCCAAUUACCCUCUGCCACAAAGGG
rnacentral:lncRNA from 1 species